rnacentral:rRNA from 1 species
AGCUUGCUUUUCUUGAUUAGUGGCGCACGGGUGAGUAAUGCAUAGAUAAUGUGCCCCUUAGUUCGGGAUAGCCACUGGAAACGGUGAUUAAUACCGGAUACUCCUUCUUGUUAUAAGACAAGUCGGGAAAGUUUUUCGCUAAGGGAUCAGUCUAUGUUCCAUCAGCUUGUUGGUGAGGUAAUGGCUCACCAAGGCUAUGACGGAUAUCUGGUUUGAGAGGAUGAUCAGACACACUGGAACUGAGACACGGUCCAGACUCCUACGGGAGGCAGCAGUGAGGAAUAUUGCACAAUGGAGGAAACUCUGAUGCAGCAACGCCGCGUGGAGGAUGACGCAUUUCGGUGUGUAAACUCCUUUUAUUAGGGAAGAUAAUGACGGUACCUAAUGAAUAAGCACCGGCUAACUCCGUGCCAGCAGCCGCGGUAAUACGGAGGGUGCAAGCGUUACUCGGAAUCACUGGGCGUAAAGGGUGCGUAGGCUGGCUUUUAAGUCAGAUGUGAAAUCCAAUGGCUCAACCAUUGAACUGCAUUUGAAACUGAAAGCCUAGAGUUCAGAAGGGGCAGAUGGAAUUAGUGGUGUAGGGGUAAAAUCCGUAGAUAUCACUAGGAAUAUCAAAAGCGAAGGCGAUCUGCUGGGAUGAUACUG